AUGUAGGCUAAUAAAUAGACUAGCAUGUCAAAUGGACACCAUGUGGAGGAUAGUCAUACGUGGUGGCAUUGAUGGGUACAGCUGCCUCGUUGUGUUUCUCCGUGCUUCCAGCAACAAUCGCAGCAGUACUGUAAUGGAUUGCUUCAUGAAUGCUGUCUCCAGAUAUGGCGUUCCCUCCAGAGUUAGGACGGACCAUGGAGGAGAAAACAACACUGUCUGCUUGUUGAAUUGCAACUUCCUGUGGCCUUCCCUCCACCUAUACCACUUCCUGCGGCCUUCCCUCCACCAUUCCCUGAGGCUUAUCGUCCACCUUCACCACAAUAUGUGGCCUCCCCUCCAUGGAGUCCACUCUCGUCUGUUGAUGUUGGUAAUGACAAUGAUGUUGACCUCCAAACACUGCUGAAGUUAAUGAGAUGCCAACCAAAUUAACGUGAUGAGGGACAACGUUUAUGAUUGUGCAAUGAGAGGCUUUACGAGAGCCCGCUUUAAUCCGGAGGCAAAAAUAGGCGUGGUUUUUAGGGAUGCUGACGGAAAAGGGGCAGCUGAUGAGGGUGGUCCCUCAAGAGAAUUUCUCCGGCUGUUAAUGAGUGCCAUCCAUUCCUCUGCAAUAUUUGAGGGACCUGAUUGGCAAAAAUGCCUUUCUUGCAUCGCUCAAGCGCUCUAUGGUGGCGUAUACAAGCAGGUGGGACGCAUGAUUGCUGUCUGUCUGGUACAUGGGGGUGUAGAGACACCAUUUUUUCCAGAGAGGCUAUACAGGCAAGUGUGUAGACUACAACCUCCUGUGCCAGAACUGAAAGGAAUAUGACUUCAGAGAGAAGUUGAAGAUCCAGUUAGCACAAACUGUUGACGAGGCACAGGAAGCGGUCAUGGAGGCCUCCGAAACAACUGGUCAUGUUGGGUUCAGUGUGAUACAUUAGUACAUUGGAGGAGAGGGAUGCCCUGGUGGAGUCAGCCACAAAGUUCUACUUAGAAAGCAGGCUACGGGAUGCUCUUGAGCAAUUCAAAAGAGGGUCUGGAGUGUCUACGUCUCCUGCCUUACAUGAAUAGACACUCAAGCCUCUUCAGAGGUUUUCAUCUACGCUGAGAAACCUCUUUUGGCCAAAGACAAAUCUUCUCUCUUCACAGCAAUGCUCUCCCCACCUGGUACCAAUCUCAGAGAAAUAGAGAGCAGAGUUAUGUUUCUGGAGGGUCUGGCUGCUGGAGGUGGAAGGUUAAAUGCAAAACCAUGAUCAAUCAAGUAACACGGACCACAUCAGUAAAAUAUAUCACCUAAACACUCUCACAACUGUGGGACAGUAUUUUAUAGCCUUAUUCUUCCAUGGGCCCCCCAAGAAUGUAAUAGAUCAACUAAAUCCCAAACUACUUUCACUUAGAGUAUUGUGUUCUCCAAUAAGUGUUACUUAUGGACUUUAAUGUCCCCCCUCCCCUUCCCUUCUUUUUUCAGAGGGGAAAGCAUACCCUUUAACCCUGGAGAAGAUUCUCAUUUUCACUUCCGGGGCUUCGGCCAUUCCUAGGCUGGGAUUCCCAGUGGAGCCACAGCUACAAUUCUUACACAAACAAGAGAAUGAGGCUGCCAGGAUGUUCCGGAAGCAAAUACAUGCAGCAUUGUUUUAAGGCUGCCAACACAUCCAACCCUACGCAGCCUUCAGGGAGAAAAUGGAGAGUGAAUUUUACAAUCACCAACAUUUAUUUUUUUGUAUGUAUUUUUCUUAAGUGCAUUGUUGGUUAAGGGCUUGGAAGUAAGCAUUUCACCGUAAUGUCUACACCGGUUGUAUUCGGAGCAUAUGACAAAUAAAAUUGUAUUUGAUUUAAAGGGAAUUCAUUUAAGGGAAUUAUCCAAAAUGUUUAUUGCAUGACUACGUAGUAAAGUUCAGAAUACUGCAGCCAAUGUUAAUUGGUGAUGUGUCCCAAAACGGUUGAUAUUAUGAAAGUUUCCAACAGGAUCGGCCAUCAGCAAAAAAAGUUGGACACAGUAAUACAAAAUGCAGCUUUAAUAAAUGUAUGAUUUCUUAGUGGGUAAACUGAGCAUUAUGCAAAGUAGUGUAUUUUUAUUACCUUUAGUUAACUAGGCAAGUCAGUUAAGAACAAAUUCUUAUUUUCAAUGAUGGCCUAGGAACAGUGGGUUAACUGCCUUGUUCAGGGGCAGAACGACAGAUUUUUACCUUGUCAGCUCGGGGAUUCGAUCUUACAACCUUCUGGUCACUAGUCCAAUGCUCUAACCACUAGGCUACCUGUCACCCCUAGUGUAUGUCAAGGGACUAUAAUGUUACAAUAUGUGCAAUGUUACCAUAAAUAAAUCUUACAGUAAAUAUGGACAUUUCAUUUAAAUGUGUUAUGGCCAUAGAAACAGACACUGUAGUUGGUACAUUGGUCGUGGUGCAGCAAGUUGAUGAGGGUAGUGGAGAAGCACUGGUGGGACUUUAUGAGUGAAGUGACUGGGGGCAGAAAAGGAUAUCAGGGUGCCCAGGAACUUAAAGCUGCUGAUCAUCUCCAUGGUAAUGUACAGUAGAUGGGAGAAUGGUCAUUAAGUCUCACCGUUUUGCUUACGCUGAGACUGUUGUCCUAUCACCCUUAUGUCAGGUCCCACAGCUCCUUCAUGUACUCAUGUGUACCAUGGUUGGGUCGGGUACAUUCUGGGGAUACACAUUCUUAUGAUAAUGUAAAAAAUCUCAUUUGUUAUUACUGGGUUUACACCCAGAGGCCUGAGUCUGCUAACCAGUUUGUGGGUCAGGAUGGUGUUGAAAGCAGAGCUAUAAAAGGAAACGCACUCUGACAUAUGUAAAAUGCAUAAUUGACAAAUGGGUUCGGACAACAGGCAAACUGAAGUUGGUUCAGUGAAUUUUUGCUACCAUGUGCUACACGAUAUCUAUUGUUCCAGUUUUUAAAAUCGAUAUCGACUGGGCUGCAGUGGAGAUGGUAAGAAGCUUCGGUAUCAUGGGGACCUUACUUCUAACGUUCUUUCCUGGUACACCCACACAGACACUGCAGUCAAAACUGCCAACCAGCGGCUCUCCAUCCUACGGUAGGUAAAGACGUUUUGCCUGACGUCAAACAUUAACAAGAGUGUCAGAUUGAAGUGUCUGGAAAAAUUCUAACAGAAACAUAAGAGCAGAUUCCUUUUUUGUCAUCUUUACUGGCACAGUGGUUUUAAAAUAAUGUUUAAUUGUCGUCACUUUCAAUUGAUUCAUUGACUCCAAGAACCAUAGAGUGUUUGUAGUUCAUAACAUUUACGCACAACUGAUAAACGUUGCUUGACAGUAGAUUGGGAUACAUGUUUUAAUAACAUUGGAUAUUUGAUUGGGUUUAAUGUUGCAUACCUUGCAGUGUUGUGCAUGCCAACCAGAUGAGAAUCACCAGAGUUAAGCGUGAUACUUGUUGAAUCAGGUCUUCUCUGCUGCUUUAUCAGCCACCCCUUGCCCACUCCAAGCUCCUCUUUAUGGUUCCCUUCUGCAAGACACAAUUGUGUGAAAAUAAAGCCGAAGGAAUAGGAACCCUAUUCCUUUGAAGCAGUACUAUAUCGUACUGGGUAUAUGCCGGAAGGUGUUAUUUUACCCUAAUAGGCUUCAAUGGGAUGUAAAUAUUCUGAAAACGAAGUGAACAUGCACAUUAAAGUAUAUUCUGUUCGAAAGUUGAUAUGUUGUAGAUGUUAGCAAAGGUUUUACAAGGUUGUCACUGGCCAAAUUGGCUUUGUGAGCUUUUCAGUGUCUUCAUGCUAAUCGAGAGGUAGCACGGCUAACGCUAGCAUUGAAAUGACAGCCAGUUAGGCUGAAGAAGUUGCCUACCUUCAGCUGUUGUUUAGCUUAAUUAAAUACAACAACAAAAAACAUGUCCUGCUUCAGUACUAGCCUAUUAGUCACAUUUAGGUAGCUUGUCCAAAACAGUCCAAAAAUCGACAACUAGCAGGAUUUUGAACAUUAUGUUUUUGGAGUAUCUCCAUUGUCUAAUCUAUGUAUGCCUGGCCCUGCAUUCAAGCAACAACCUUGCUAGUAUGUAAUUUACCUCGAUAGUAUUAACAUAGUCUAAUGUGUUUCCGUGGCUGUUAUGGUUGACAUGUUUUUUCAGCAUGUUUUUUCUUAAUAAAACACAAGACUGCGUUGUUCACUGCGGCUAGCAGUAUGGCCGGUCAGAGUUUGAGGCAAACUAAUAAUGGCUGGGGUUCGAGGCUACCGACGUUAGCUAAAUUAGCUAGCCUGUAUCUGACUUAGUUUAUGCUAAGCACUGCUGAUCCUGGUGCUAGAUUGUUAUCUGAAUUUUAUAGCCAGUGAUGAGAAACAGAUCCUUCCACUGUAAACUAGCUGAUAAGCUUUAUGAUUCAGUAACAACAAUUUUCAAAGACAAAAGUUAGCGUGUAUAGUUAG
rnacentral:lncRNA from 1 species